CCCCUAGAUGUUCUGGGCCGCACGCGCGCUACACUGAACAGUUCAACAAGUCUUAACCUUGGCCGAUAGGUCUGGGUAAUCUUUGAACGCUGUUCGUGAUUGGGAUAGACCUUUGCAAUUAUGGGUCUUCAACGAGGAAUUCUUAGUAAACGCAAGUCAUCAGCUUGCAUUGAUUACGUCCCUGCCCUUUGUACACACCGCCCGUCGCACCUACCGAUUGAAUGGUCCGGUGAAAUCUCGGGACGGCGGCUUGGUCGCUUGCGUCCGACUGCUGAAACUUGAUUAAACCAUAUCAUUUAGAGGAAGGUGAANUCGUAACA
rnacentral:rRNA from 1 species